GACGAACGCUGGCGGCGUGCCUAAUACAUGCAAGUUGAGCGCUGAAGGUUGGUACUUGUGCCAACUGGAUGAGCAGCGAACGGGUGAGUAACGCGUGGGGAAUCUGCCUUUGAGCGGGGGACAACAUUUGGAAACGAAUGCUAAUACCGCAUAAAAACUUUAAACACAAGUUUUAAGUUUGAAAGAUGCAAUUGCAUCACUCAAAGAUGAUCCCGCGUUGUAUUAGCUAGUUGGUGAGGUAAAGGCUCACCAAGGCGAUGAUACAUAGCCGACCUGAGAGGGUGAUCGGCCAAAAUGGGACUGAGAAACGGCCCAAACUCCUACGGGAGGCAGCAGUAGGGAAUCUUCGGCAAUGGACGAAAGUCUGACCGAGCAACGCCGCGUGAGUGAAGAAGGGUGUCGGAUCGUAAAACUCUGUUGGUAGAGAAGAACGUUGGUGAGAGUGGAAAGCUCAUCAAGUGACGGUAACUACCCAGAAAGGGACGGCUAACUACGUG
rnacentral:rRNA from 1 species